GCCGGGUGCGGUGGCACAUGCCUGUAGUCUCAGCUACUCGGGAGGCUGAGGUGGGAGGAUCGCUUGAGCCCAGCAGUUCUGGGCUGUAGUGCACUAUGCCGAUUGGGUGUCCUCACUAAGUUCAGCAUCAGUAUGGUGACAUACUGUGGGGGUGGGGGGCACCAGGUUGCUUAAGGAAGGGUGAAUCAGCCCAGGUCGGAAACGGAGCAGGUCAAAACUUUUGGGCUGAUCAGUAGUCGGAUCGUACCUGUGAAUAGCCACUGCACUCCAGCCUGGGCAACAUAGGGAGAGCCUGUCUCUA
rnacentral:SRP_RNA from 13 species